AAACUUACCUGGCUGGAAGACAUCCGCGAUCAUGAAGGCGGAACCUUCACGGUGAGGCUUGACCAUUGCACUUCUCGUGUCCGGCUGACCCGUGUGGCUACCCAGAGACUGGGUCAGCCAACAGCAAAAUUUUUGCGUUUGGGGUUGCGUUCGCGCUCCCCCGC
rnacentral:snRNA from 1 species